GUUAAAACGCUCGUAGUCGGAUUUCGGGUCCUGUCCGCCGGUUUGCCGUUGGGUAUACACUGGUGGGCGCGUCCUUCCUUCCGGAGACCGCGCCUCCUCUUAGCUGAGCGGGCGUGGGAGACGGAUCGUUUACUUUGAAAAAAUCAGAGUGUUUCACGCAGGCAGUCUGCUCUUGCAUGGAUUAGCAUGGGAUGAUGAAAUAGGACUCUGGUGCUAUUUUGUUGGUUUCGAGCACCGGGGUAAUGAUUAACAGGGACAGUCAGGGGCACUCGUAUUCCGCAGAGAGAGGUGAAAUUCUCAGACCCGCGGAAGACGAACCACUGCGAAAGCAUUUGCCAGGGAUGUUUUCACUGAUCAAGAACGAAAGUUAGGGGAUCGAAGACGAUCAGAUACCGUCGUAGUCUUAACCAUAAACGAUGCCAACUAGGGAUCCCGAGAUGUUGCUUUUGACUCUCGGGGCACCUUACGGGAAACUAAAGUCUUUGGGUUCCGGGGGGAGUAUGGUCGCAAGGCUGAAACUUAAAGGAAUUGACGGAAGGGCACCACCAGGAGUGGAGCCUGCGGCUUAAUUUGACUCAACACGGGGAAACUUACCAGGUCCAGACAUUGUGAGGAUUGACAGAUUGAGAGCUCUUUCUUGAUUCGAUGGGUGGUGGUGCAUGGCCGUUCUUAGUUGGUGGAGUGAUUUGUCUGGUUAAUUCCGUU
rnacentral:rRNA from 1 species